UACGAAGGGGGCUAGCGUUGUUCGGAAUCACUGGGCGUAAAGGGCGCGUAGGCGGCUUUGUAAGUCGGGGGUGAAAGCCUGUGGCUCAACCACAGAAUUGCCUUCGAUACUGCAUGGCUUGAGACCGGAAGAGGUAAGUGGAACUGCGAGUGUAGAGGUGAAAUUCGUAGAUAUUCGCAAGAACACCAGUGGCGAAGGCGGCUUACUGGUCCGGUU
rnacentral:rRNA from 1 species